AUUGAGCGCUGGCGGCAGGCUUAACACAUGCAAGUCGAGCGGGGUGAUGGUGCUUGCACUAUCACUUAGCGGCGGACGGGUGAGUAAUGCUUAGGAAUCUGCCUAUUAGUGGGGGACAACAUCUCGAAAGGGAUGCUAAUACCGCAUACGUCCUACGGGAGAAAGCAGGGGAUCACUUGUGACCUUGCGCUAAUAGAUGAGCCUAAGUCGGAUUAGCUAGUUGGUGGGGUAAAGGCCUACCAAGGCGACGAUCUGUAGCGGGUCUGAGAGGAUGAUCCGCCACACUGGGACUGAGACACGGCCCAGACUCCUACGGGAGGCAGCAGUGGGGAAAAUUGGACAAUGGGGGGAACCCUGAUCCAGCCAUGCCGCGUGUGUGAAGAAGGCCUUAUGGUUGUAAAGCACUUUAAGCGAGGAGGAGGCUCCUUUGGUUAAUACCCAAGAUGAGUGGACGUUACUCGCAGAAUAAGCACCGGCUAACUCUGUGCCAGCAGCCGCCGUAA
rnacentral:rRNA from 1 species